UUCUGAGGCUGCUGCCAGUGGUCAAAGCCUCCAACAAAGCUCUACUGAGUGGCUGUAACCUCUCAGAGAAGAGCUGUGAAGCUCUGUCCUCAGUUCUCAGCUCCCAGUCCUCUAGUCUGAGCGAGCUGGACCUGAGUAACAACAACCUGCAGGAUUCAGGAGUGAAGCUGCUUUUUGCUGGACUGGAGAGUCCACACUGUGAACUGGAAACUCUCAGCCUGUCAGGCUGUCUGAUCACAGAGGAAGGCUGUGCUUCUCUGGCCUCAGCUCUGAGCUCCAACCCCUCCCAUCUGAGAGAGCUGGACCUGAGCUACAAUCAUCCAGGAGACUCAGGAGUGAAGCUAUUUUCUGCUGGACUGGAGGAUCCACAAUGGAGACUGGAAACUCUCAGGUAUGAAAAGGCCUGCUGCAGCCACAGACAAUCAGUCAGAUAGAGGAGGUAGAGCUGGAGACUUUUUCUCUGUCACACUGUCAGCCUGGUUAAUAUGACCCUGACACACCAAGCUAACCUCAAACUACCAGAGACACAUCAAACUGUUUGUGUCCUACAUCAGACCAUCAAUACAGACAGAAGUAGUCAGGGAACAGUAGCUAGGAUGAGCCAAAACAGGGAGGGAAGGUGAAGAAACCUGUUGUUUUUCGGGAGUGUUGUCUUGUUUCAACAUUAGAAAAUGGGACAGUGGUGUAUCCUGACACGUCGACGGGCAUCAUGGUGGGUUGACAUGCGGCAACGUCAUCACGCUGCAGGUUUGUGGGCUCAUAUCAAACAAUAGUUGUAUGUUUGGAUCCUCGUCAUCUGCCACCAGUGUGUGUUGCCCUUUAGUCCAGACAUUAUUGUGAAAAGACAAACAGACAAAGAAACAAUCUGUUCAAACCGUCUUCAUAAAUCAUCACAAUAGGAAUGUUUUGCUGUUUUAAAGGAGUUUAGCUUUACCUGGUUGUGGUUUGUUUUGCACUGAGAGCCAGUUCCCUGGCUGAUAAGAAACUACAGGUGACAGUUGGCCACAGACACUCAGUGAAGAACCAACAGCUGAUUGUGGACAUGGUGUGUCAGAGCCCAAUGUGGUUUAUGUAGGACUGGACUAAAGUUAUAGUGGGACACAGGCAGUGCUCUGUGGCUGCAGACGGACUUGAACUGUAAUGUUUUCACCCCCAGAUUACAGAACCCAAAAAUAAAUACUUCUAUAUUGACAAUGGAUCAGCUGACUCUGUGUAACGGUGAAGAGUCGUUGCGCGGUGAUGAACCCACAGAGAAUUGUCUUCAUCUCUGCAGCUCUACAGAGCUUUUUAGCCUCUUUCAGAUCCUAGUUUUGGUUCUGCAGCACAGUUCCUGUUUGGUUCAGUCUCAGUGUUUACAGUAGCAGCUGUUUUCUUACAACAAGCUGUGAUGAAGCCACU